rnacentral:misc_RNA from 1 species
UUGAAAUCCUUAGGAUGUUGCUGGCCUUUAGGGGCAUGUGCACUCCGCCUUUUCAAUUCACCUGUGCACUCAUUGUAGGCCGGACUUUCAAGUCUGUGUCUAUGUUUUUACACACCCUUAUAAAAAAAGUUUAACAGAAUGUCAUAAUAGACCUUUGAUGGUCGAAAUAAAUUAAUA